rnacentral:rRNA from 1 species
UACGUAGGGUGCAAGCGUUGUCCGGAAUUAUUGGGCGUAAAGAGCUCGUAGGCGGUCUGUUGCGUCGGCUGUGAAAACCCGAGGCUCAACCUCGGGCCUGCAGCCGAUACGGGCAGACUAGAGUUCGGCAGGGGAGACUGGAAUUCCUGGUGUAGCGGUGAAAUGCGCAGAUAUCAGGAGGAACACCGGUGGCGAAGGCGGGUCUCUGGGCCGAUACUGACGCUGGAGGAGCGAAA